AACCCCUUAACAGAAUAUAGAUAUACACACACCACUCAAAAGAAAAAAAACAUUACACACACACUACCUCACUGUAUAAGACACCAUCGUCUUCUCCGCAAUUCACAAAAAAUCACUCUCACAUACGCAUACUACUCACCUUCACUGGAAAAGGCUCUCAUACGGAUGCACAAUUCUCUCUACACAGUACACACGCAGCUCACCGCACACUCACCGAAGACGAAAAAUUUCUCACAAAAAAAAUGCACACACAUCGUGGAAGCCAGUGGAGAAGAAAAAGAGUGGAAUCGGGUGAAAACAGUAGAAAAGAUGGAGAAACAUUGAUGAAUUGAGGGGGGAGAAACAGUGAACGAUCGAGAAAGGAAGGUCGAUUUUCUGAUGAAAUCUCGUCGGAAACGUCAUCUCUACCGACAAUCUGAAUCCAAAAGCCACCAGCUCCUUCAUUUGUCCAAAAAUUCGAUUAAACCCACAUCACAUCGACUCAAGGAACCGACCAUUCCUUCUCCGUCCCCGUCACCGUCGAGUUCUUCGGUGAAGCUCACUAGAGCCCCGGUAAGUAGCGAAAUCCGUGGUCAAAACAGUGCACAAAUUCUAGUUGAGUCAUCGGUCUUUUGGGUUCUAUUUCGAAUCACCAAGUUGGGUCCAAUUUGAAGUCGAAAUUCGAUUCGAUUUUGGUCGUUGUUAAGGUCGGCUUGAGGUUCUAGUCACGGUUUUAAUCGGAAUAAUACAUCGAUUUUGAAAGCGGCAUUGAGUUGAAGGUAUAUGAGAUCUUGAAGAUGUCAAAAAAAUUCAUCAUUCGCUUUCUUUUUGAUGGAAUCAAAUCCACAAAAUAUAUAGUCCUGAAUGUUAAGCUCAAAAGUAUUGCUUGGAAUGUUAAGACAAUACGUGUACACUGUAUAUAUAGUCCUGAAUCAAUUCAAUUCAGUUCUACUCUCACA